rnacentral:lncRNA from 1 species
GUGUGCUGGUGCAGAGGGGGUGGGGGUCUGCGGGCCUGGAUCUGUGGACGGGCUCCUAAUCCUCUUGUUUUCGGAACCGUCAGCAGAUGCGGCUUCCUUUACCUGAAUAAUCCUUUAAAGGAGUAAUAAUUUUUAAAAAGGAGCUCGACCUCAGCCAAAGAGGACGGCGCACGAGAUUAGGGCUUGUAGAUCCACUGCCUUUGGUUGGGCCGGCUGAAUCGCUGGGGACUGCGGCCAGUCUCUUAAAAAAGGAGAACAAAAAGCCGAAGACCUUGUGUGGCCGCCGGGACAAAGCACCUUGGGUUCGGCGAGAAGGGACGCGCAGGAGCGCUGAACCCAGAACACGCGUGGCCGCUGCGGAAGGGCGUCCGCCCGGCGUGCGGAACGCUGAGGGGACUCUCAUCCUCUGUCUCGCCCCCUUUUUUUGACCCGGGGAUCCAGCCGCAUUAUACACGAGUGACCUUUUAAAUCUACGUCCACCCUUUACCUGCGAGAGGACUGCAGCAGGCGAGUUCCGGAAGGCUGAAUCCCCAGGUCCCAGCCCCGGACCGCGGCAACUCGCCCCUGCGGCACGCCCGGCCCGGCUGCGCCCCCACUCAGCGAUGGAGGAAAAAGCCUGGAUGCGAAAGGAUGGGGGAGAACAAAGAGCCUUUGGAAGACGUCGCUGUUAUCUCAUUGUCUGUGUGAUUGGGGGAGCUGCGGCGGGGAGGAUGCUGUGGUCCCUUCCUCCGGCGUUCCCCACCCCCAUCCCUCUCCCCGCUGUCAGUGCGCACGCACACGCGCCGCUUUUUAUUUCUUUUUCCUGGUUUUCUUAUUCCAUCUUCUACCCACCCCUCUUCCUUUCUUUCACCUUUCCUUCCUUCCUUCCUCCUUUCCUUCCUCAGGAGAAAGGCCUCUCUCUCCGUGUUCACAGCGGACCUUGAUUUAAAUGUCCAUACAAUUAAGGCACGCGGUGAAUGCCAAGAAUGGGGCUGGCUGAGCACCGUGGGUCGGCGAGGGCCCGCCAAGGAAGGAGCGACCGACCGAGCCAGGCGCCCUCCGCAGACCUCCGCGCAGCGGCCGCGGGCGCGAGGGGAGGGGUCUGGAGCUCCCUCCGGCUGCCUGUCCCGCACCGGAGCCCGUGGGGUGGGGAGGUGUGCAGCCUGUGACAGACAGGGGCUUAGAGAUGCAAACAGACUCAGGGAGAGAAACAGAAGCUGAUUCUGUGACAGAAGCAGAUCUGUGCAGCACAGAUGCGGUGUGCGUGGGGAGGGGGUCGCCUGGGAGCGCAUUGCGGAGUGCUUGUGUGUGCAGAUUUUUCUCUGGGCUCAGGACUCAUUGUAUGUGGGUCAACACCUUCCUCCGUGACUGUGUUUUUGUUCUGAGCUGAGUUUUUUGGUUUGCCCUUAAAAAAAUAAUAAUUUGGCAUCCAGAGACUGGCA